GACGAACGCUGGCGGCGUGCUUAACACAUGCGAGUCGAACGGUGAAGCUCCAGCUUGCUGGAGUGGAUCAGUGGCGAACGGGUGAGUAACACGUGAGCAACCUGCCCCUGACUCUGGAAUAAGCGCUGGAAACGGCGUCUAAUACUGGAUACGAGAAGGGUCCGCAUGGGCACUUUCUGGAAAGUUUUUCGGUUGGGGAUGGGCUCGCGGCCUAUCAGCUUGUUUGUGAGGUAAUGGCUCACCAAGGCGACGACGGGUAGCCGGCCUGAGAGGGCGACCGGCCACACUGGGACUGAGACACGGCACAGACUCCUACGGGAGGCAGCAGUGGGGAAUAUUGCACAAUGGGCGAAAGCAUGAUGCAGCGACGCCGCGUGAGGGAUGACGGCCUUCGGGUUGUAAACCUCUUUCAGCAGGGAAGAAGCGAAAGUGACGGUACCUGCAGAAGAAGCACCGGCUAACUACGUG
rnacentral:rRNA from 1 species